rnacentral:rRNA from 1 species
AGUGAACGCUGGCGGUAGGCCUAACACAUGCGAGUCGAACGGCAGCACAGUAAGAGCUUGCUCUUACGGGUGGCGAGUGGCGGACGGGUGAGGAAUACAUCGGAAUCUACUUUUUCGUGGGGGAUAACGUAGGGAAACUUACGCUAAUACCGCAUACGACCUACGGGUGAAAGCAGGGGAUCUUCGGACCUUGCGCGAUUGAAUGAGCCGAUGUCGGAUUAGCUAGUUGGCGGGGUAAAGGCCCACCAAGGCGACGAUCCGUAGCUGGUCUGAGAGGAUGAUCAGCCACACUGGAACUGAGACACGGUCCAGACUCCUACGGGAGGCAGCAGUGGGGAAUAUUGGACAAUGGGCGCAAGCCUGAUCCAGCCAUACCGCGUGGGUGAAGAAGGCCUUCGGGUUAUAAAGCCCUUUUGUUGGGAAAGAAAAGCAGCAGGUUAAUACCCCGCUGUUCUGACGGUACCCAAAGAAUAAGCACCGGCUAACUUCGUG